rnacentral:rRNA from 1 species
AUUGAACGCUGGCGGCAGGCUUAACACAUGCAAGUCGAGCGGAGAUGAGGUGCUUGCACCUUAUCUUAGCGGCGGACGGGUGAGUAAUGCUUAGGAAUCUGCCUAUUAGUGGGGGACAACAUUCCGAAAGGAAUGCUAAUACCGCAUACGCCCUACGGGGGAAAGCAGGGGAUCUUCGGACCUUGCGCUAAUAGAUGAGCCUAAGUCGGAUCAGCUAGUUGGUGGGGUCAAGGCCUACCAAGGCGACGAUCUGUAGCGGGUCUGAGAGGAUGGGCCGCCACACUGGGACUGGGAAACGGCCCAGACUCCUACGGGAGGCAGCAGUGGGGAAUAUUGGACAAGGGGCGGAAGCCUGAUCCAGCCAUGCCGCGUGUGUGAAGAAGGCCUUUUGGUUGUAAAGCACUUUAAGCGAGGAGGAGGCUACCUGGAUUAAUACUCUAGGAUAGUGGACGUUACUCGCAGAAUAAGCACCGGCUAACUCUGUGCCAGCCGCCGCCGUAAUAC